UUCCCUGUGGCUCAGUUGGUAGAGCAUGGUGUUUGCAACGCCAGCAUGGUGUGUGCAACGCCAGGGUUGUGGGCUCGAUUCCCACGGGGGACC
rfam:Salmo salar isolate Sally breed double haploid chromosome ssa10, whole genome shotgun sequence.